rnacentral:rRNA from 1 species
AUGUUGCGCGGCCCGGCCCAUUCCGUGCCGGCGACCGCCGCCGCCGCCGGCGGCGGCGGGCAGCCUCUGGUGGUGACGCUCAACUGCCUCGAGGACCCGUCGGUGGAGCGGGACGCGCUGGCCGGCGCGGCGGCCGUGGAGCACGCACCGCUCUCUGCGCUCGCCUCGGGCCACGUCGAGGCCGCCGCGGCCGUGCUCCUCACCUCUCUCGCCUUCCUCCCGCGCGCCGCGCAGCGCCGGCUCCGGCCGUGGCAGCUGCUGCUCUGCUUGGGAUCCCCCGACCGCGCCGCGGACGCCGCAGCGGCCGCGGAGCUCGGCCUCCGUCUCGUCCACGUCGACGCCAACCGCGCCGAGGAGAUCGCGGACACCGUCAUGGCGCUCUUCCUCGGCCUCCUCCGCCGCACCCACCUGCUGUCCGGGCACGCGUCCUCCUCCACGCCGUCCGCCGGGUGGCUCGGCUCCGUCCAGCCGCUGUGCCGCGGCAUGCGGCGCUGCCGUGGGCUCGUGCUAGGCAUCGUCGGCGUCAACGCCGCCGCGCGAUGUCUCGCCACCCGCAGCCUCGCCUUCCGCAUGAGCGUGCUCUACUUCGAUCCGCUCUACGAGGGUGCGGGCAAAACAAAGCGGCCUUCCAUUGUAUUUCCUUCUUCUGCUAGAAGAAUGGAUACUCUCAAUGAUUUAUUAGCAGCAAGUGACCUUGUUUCACUUCACUGUGCUUUAACAAAUGAUACAACAAACAUAAUUAGUGCCGAGCGUCUGCAGCACAUAAAACCUGGAGCUUUCAUAGUCAAUACCAGUAGCUGCCAGCUGAUAGAUGACUGUGCACUCAAACAACUCUUGCUCGAUGGCACUAUUGCUGGAUGUGCAUUGGAUGGCGCUGAAGGUCCACAAUGGAUGGAAGCAUGGGUACACGAGAUGCCGAACGUGUUAAUUCUUCCUCGAAGUGCAGACUACAGUGAAGAAGUGUGGAUGGAAAUCAGAGAGAAAGCAAUCACAAUAUUACAAUCCUUUUUCUUUGAUGGCAUUGUUCCAAACAAUGCUAUUUCUGAUGAAGAUGAAGCAAUAAGUGAUGUUGGAUGUGAAGAUGAUCAGCUAUAUAAACAGGCAAAUGAACACUCUUUGCGGGUCUGCGAUGGUGAACAACAGACAGAUGAAAGCCAACUAACUCUAGAGUGUGACAAGAGAAGAGCCAUCUCCAAGCCUGAAGUUCCUGAAGCUUCAGGGCAGUCCCAAAGUAUUGGCUUAAGAUCGGAAGGAAGGCGUAGCAGAUUUGGAAAGAAAGGGAAAAAGAGACCUGCGCGCCGCAGAUCACAACAGAAAAUGGAUGAAUUGUCAACUGUGGAGAGUGGAAGUAAUUAUUCUUCACGAAGAGAUGAUGAUACUGUGAUGAGUGGCCGGGACCAAGUGUUAAGUUCCAGUUCACGAUUUGCUUCCCCCGAGGAAUCCAAAAAUAAGCUCAGGUCUUCUGCUGAAUCUCCAAUGGAAAUAAUUUCUGAACAUAAGUUGCCUGCAGGGCUUGGUAGAAAGCCUCCUGAGAGGCUUAAAGAUGGCUUUGUCGUUGCCCUAAGGACAAGAGAUAAUUUGGGUUUUCAUGUUUCAAGAGAAAGAGUUGCUGGUGGUGGCUGGUAUCUUGAUGUUGUGUCAAAUGCUACAAAGAGGGAUCCUGCUUCUCAGUUCCUAAUCACAUUUAAAAACAAGGUGGAUACGAUGGGAUUGCGAUCUUUUGUUGCUGGGGGCAAACUAUUGCAGGUUAAUAAGAAGGCGGAGCUCGUAUUUGCCAGUCAUGCUUUCGAUAUUUGGGAGAGCUGGACGCUGGAAGGGUCUUUACUGGAAUGCUGCAAACUGGUCAACCACAGAAAUCCUUUGGCUGUAUUGGAGGUCUAUAUCGAGAUCCUCGCAGCGGUGAGCGAAGAAGAUGGCGUCACCAGGUGGCUCGAUUGA